AGAAUCUGCCUUCUGGUCGGGGACAACCACUGGAAACGGUGGCUAAUACCGGAUGUGCCGAAGGGUAAAAGAUUAAUUGCCAGAAGAGGAGCUCGCGUCUGAUUAGCUAGUUGGUAGGGUAAAAGCCUACCAAGGCAUCGAUCAGUAGCUGGUCUGAGAGGAUGACCAGCCACACUGGGACUGAGACACGGCCCAGACUCCUACGGGAGGCAGCAGUGGGGAAUUUUCCGCAAUGGGCGAAAGCCUGACGGAGCAAGACCGCGUGAGGGAGGAAGGCUCUUGGGUUGUAAACCUCUUUUCUCAGGGAAGAACACAAUGACGGUACCUGAGGAAUCAGCCUCGGCUAACUCCGUGCCAGCAGCCGCGGUAAUACGGAGGAGGCAAGCGUUAUCCGGAAUUAUUGGGCGUAAAGCGUCCGCAGGUGGCACUUCAAGUCUGUCGUCAAAGACUGGGGCUUAACCCUGGAAAGGCGGUGGAAACUGAAGCGCUAGAGUGCGGUAGGGGUAGAGGGAAUUCCCGGUGUAGCGGUGAAAUGCGUAGAGAUCGGGAAGAACAUCGGUGGCGAAAGCGCUCUACUGGACCGCAACUGACACUCAGGGACGAAAGCUAGGGGAGCGAAUGGGAUUAGAUACCCCAGUGGUCCUAGCCGUAAACGAUGGAUACUA
rnacentral:rRNA from 1 species